UACGGGGGGGCAAGCGUUGUUCGGAAUUACUGGGCGUAAAGGCUCGUAGGCGGCCAACUAAGUCAGACGUGAAAUCCCUCGGCUUAACCGGGGAACUGCGUCUGAUACUGGAUGGCUUGAGUGUGGGAGAGGGAUGCGGAAUUCCAGGUGUAGCGGUGAAAUGCGUAGAUAUCUGGAGGAACACCGGUGGCGAAGGCGGCAUCCUGGACCACGACUGACGCUGAGGAGCGAAAGCCAGGGGAGCAACGGG
rnacentral:rRNA from 1 species